ACGGGCUCUGCCUGGGUGCGACAGUGGCAGGACAGCGGCUCCUUCCACCUCCACCCUGUGAGAGAACACUGUUAUCUUCCAGGCCAGAGGAAUUCAGUUUGCUAAAAACGUUGAAUUCUUCCUUCUCUGAGCGUCCCUACACAGGGCGUGCAUAGGGGGUUGGGUGGCUACCCCGCAGCCCCAUUUCCUCGCUCAGUAAGACCCUGACGGUUUGCGUGUUCACCCUCAACUAGGCUCGGGAGGUAGGCCGGACCCUGAGUGCAAUGUGACUGGUUUUAAGACACACUGGUUUCACUUUUCACACUAGGAGCAGACUUUAGGGGUGGACGAGUGAUGUCAUUCCAGGCAAUCUAAAAUGAGAGAUGUCAGAUGGAGGCUUCUGGGAAAGAGCUCUUUCCUUAUUAUAAAACAGAUCCAAGGAAAGAACGUUACUCUCUGGCCUGUGGAAGUGGCUCCAUAAAGAUGGGGCAUUUGGAGCUGCUGCUACCAUUUUGUCAAGGUGAAAAAAAUCAACCAGGACCCAGAAGGUAGCAGGUCGAGAAUGGCAGAGCAGAAACUGGGAAGGAAUCUGGGCUCUAGAGGACUUUAAUGAGUUGAUGCAAUACGCAAGCCUGUGCCUAGACCUGGUCUUCCUGUUACAAGAAGACCUUCAUGUCUUCGCUUUAUUAAUAAAUAAAAGCAUUUAUUUCUUAAGCCAUUUUGAAUUGAACUUUUUUUUGAUAUUCAAAUGCAAAUAAAGCACCCUAUGUGAUAAGCUUAAGCAGGAGAUAUAGAACAUGAAAUGGCAUACUACUUAAUAUGUUCAUACAUAUUGAUUCUUAUAAAAUGCUACUUCUGCAAUAGCACAGAACAGAUUACUUUUUUUUUAAAAUUAGGAACUGAGAAAAAAUCCAAUUAGAGCAAGGGGUAAAAGAAACACAUUCCUGAGAAAAAUUUUUGAUCAACUUUCUAAAUGUUAGAAUUUUCAUGCACAAUUAUCAAUUCUGACAACUCCUGGCUAAAAAUGAAGAUUAUCUUCUUGAUUCUGUGCUUCUCACCCUAUUUGUUGUUUCAGAGGAGCGACAUACUCCAGAAGAUCCUUAUGUGUCUGGAGCUCCUUAACCUUCACCGUAAAGUUGAUGACUUCAUUUCCCAGGUGAAGCAAAGUUUUCAGUAAACUGUGAGUCUGUCACAAUGAAGCCAGUUUCACUAAGAUCUAUGAGCAAUUACUCAUAACGGCGCCUCUCACUGGCUUUUAGCUCCAGCAGAAAGUUUUCCAUUCAGGUAUGGUGAAAGGUAUAAUUAAAAAUGGAACCCCUCCCCCUCCUCUUCCUAAAACAAACACGCAAGGGAUUAGUCGUUUCUGGGAAGAAGAUCCUAUUAUAGCUGUGAGAAAAUCCGCAACAGUUUGAACUUGUUUCUCAUCCCUUGCCAGAUGCGUUGUGUGUUAGCAGCAUACAGGUGAAAACCAGGCUUCUUAGAGAUUUAACUGCGUCUUGAUGUUGAGAUUUAUGAGGUCUGAUCAGCCGGAUGCAAGGAUGUCUGCUGGUGCCUCAACCUGCUUCUCUGGGCUAAUGACUACCUUUCAGUCAUCGUCCUGUCUGCAGAUUAGCGGCACUCCAGGUGGGGACGGAGCGGAACAUUCAGGAGCUAGUCCUCAAUCCAUUGGAAUCACUGAUGUUCUGAUUUUCCUAAGACUCUUCAUGACUAACUCUGGCUAUAGCUAGAUGAACUGGAGUAGACUGUGAACCAGAUUCUGUGACUUGAGGCUUCUGCAAUUUUGCUCAAAGUAAACAUAUACUGAAGUCCUCCUCAUUCCAAUGCAUCCCUUUCUACCCCCCUCCCCUCAUGCCUUUUUAGCGCUCUUACCUUCUUGUAGGCAUUAUGG